CCUACGGGUGGCAGCAGUGGGGAAUAUUGCACAAUGGGGGAAACCCUGAUGCAGCGACGCCGCGUGAGCGAUGAAGUAUUUCGGUAUGUAAAGCUCUAUCAGCAGGGAAGAAAAUGACGGUCCCUGACUAAGAAGCCACGGCUAACUACGGGACAGCAGCCGCGGUACUACGUAGGGUGCAAGCGUUAUCCGGAUUUACUGGGUGUAAAGGGAGUGUAGACGGGUGUGCAAGCCAGAUGUGAAAGCCCGGGGCGCAACCCCGGGACUGCAUUUGUAACUGUGUAGCUGGAGUGUAGGAGAGGCAGGCGGAAUUCAUGGUGUAGCGGUGAAAUGCGUAGAUAUUAGGCAGAACACCAGUUGCGAAGGCAGCCUGCUGGACGAUGACUGACGUUGAGGCACGAAAGCGUGGGGAGCAAACAGGAUUAGAUACCCUAGUAGUC
rnacentral:rRNA from 1 species